rnacentral:lncRNA from 1 species
GUUUGUAGCCUAUCAGAUAAGACAGGUCUUGAAACUCACACCUCUGCAUGAGACAUUUGUCACCUACUCAUUGCUAUGUUAACUACUUACUUCUGAACAAUAGGUGUGACAUUAGUGUCAGAGGAAGACACCACUGUGAAUGCAGUGAGUAACCAUUCUGAGCUAACUCCAUGUACUGCUGAUAGCAAUGGAAAGAAUCAUAGCAUAAUUUCAACAAAUUGUUAUUGGAAUUUGACUUCUUCAAUACUGUUGAACUGACUUAUACUGACUGACUGAAGCUGCAGAAAUAGUUAGUUACAGAAAUACAAUGACUCCCAUCUACAUGAUCAUCGCAGUUCUGGCAACAACAGCUCUGGCAGAAGGGUCUGUUGAAUGUAAUUUCCCUAGAUCUAACGGAUCUCAUCUGUGUUUUGGAGCAGUAGGACAGCAGCUCAUUUUUCAUUUGUCAGAUAAGGCAAAUACUACGUUUACUUUAUGGAAGGAAGACAAACACAGGUUCUUAAAAUCCUCUGGGAAUGUGACUAUAGAUCAGAGACACGCAAAUCACUCUCAGUACAUCAAUGGUGGAACAUAUAAACUAGGGAAUGCCAUGAAGACAGACUCUGGAAAUUACACCUUGGAAGAAUUUGGAUCUAACGGCAUGUUGGUUAAAAAAGUACAUGUGUCUCUAGAAAUAAAAGCUCCAGUGUCAAAGCCUGCUGUGUCUCAGGAGUGUCUGUCACUAGAACAGAUGCAGGUCAUCUGCUCAUCAGAGGGAGAUGAAGCCGAGUUCAUUUUGAUGUUGGAUGGUCAAGUGCUGAUGCAAAGCCGAGAACACAACCAGUCUAUGGGACAUUGGGCAGUGGAAAAAUCCAAUAUUUCAACUGCAUCCAUCAACUUACACGGACAGAUGACUGGAAACCUCACGUGUGAAGUUUGGAACAAAGUCAGCAACGCACAAACGGUUAUUUACCUCAAAGACUGUAAAGAUAUUCUUACAAGCUUCCCUGUUGUGACUGUGGUGACAGCUAAUGUCAUCGUCUUCGUCCUUUUUGUGGCUUUGGGCCUUGUUAUAAAGUUUCACAGAACACCCACCCUUAAAAACAACAAUGUGUCAGACAAUGUUCAAGAGGAAGUUAUCUACACAGAUGUUAAAAAAACAAGGUCCACAACUGUAGAUGAUGAUAAUGUUGACAAGGAAGUUAUCUACACUGAUGUUAAACAAGACCCACAGCUGUAGAUGAUGAUACCUCUGAAGAUGGCGAUAAAAUCAUAUAUUCAGAUGUAAGGGUGAUAAAACAUACAAAAAAACCCUCAGAUCUGCAGGAGAACACAAUGACGGUUAGGUGCAUUGUGGACGUGGAAAUAUAGACCUCUAAUGCACAGCAAAGACAAUGCAGCCUCUGCUGUAAAAGGAAGAUGUCAAAGACAUAUUUUAUAUGGGAAC